GACGAACGCUGGCGGCGUGCUUAACACAUGCAAGUCGAACGGAAAGGCCCCAGCUUGCUGGGGUACUCGAGUGGCGAACGGGUGAGUAACACGUGGGUGAUCUGCCCUGCACUCUGGGAUAAGCCUGGGAAACUGGGUCUAAUACCGGAUAGGACCGUGCUUUAGUGUGUGCGGUGGAAAGUUUUUCGGUGCAGGAUGAGCCCGCGGCCUAUCAGCUUGUUGGUGGGGUAAUGGCCUACCAAGGCGGCGACGGGUAGCCGGCCUGAGAGGGUGUACGGCCACAUUGGGACUGAGACACGGCCCAGACUCCUACGGGAGGCAGCAGUGGGGAAUAUUGCACAAUGGGCGCAAGCCUGAUGCAGAGACGCCGCGUGGGGGAUGACGGCCUUCGGGUUGUAAACCCCUUUCGGCAGGGACGAAGCUUUUGUGACGGUACCUGCAUAAGAAGCACCGGCUAACUACGUG
rnacentral:rRNA from 1 species